CCGACCUUAGCUCAGUUGGUAGAGCGGAAGACUGUAGUAUCUUUAGGUCGCUGGUUCGAUUCCGGCAGGUCGGA
rnacentral:tRNA from 1 species